AGGAACACUGGCGUAAGUUGGCUGAUCGUGAGUAGUUGGACCCUCUGUGGAAAGAAAAUUUCUUACAUGAAUCACCAAUCAGAAUCACCAUUUACGAAUAUUCAACAGCUCGUGGAGAUUAGACACUACAAGAAUCGACGGAUAAUUCGGUGGUAUGUAAAUCAUCGGAAUUCAAACUGGCUGAGCAGGGCUCUCGAUAUCUGGACGGACAAGCGCACAAAGGCUGCGUGUAAUUCAAUCUAACGUAUACCGCGCUGCAGACCUGCGAAAAGUGCGAAGCAAAAAAAUUGCUGGAUUAGACCUCUUAUCGAGCAUUACCUGUCGAUGAAGCGUAUCGUCGAUCGUGUUAGUAGCAUCGCAUACUGUCGAGCUGCGGUGUGAAAUGAAAAUGAUCACAGACAACGAUGCUCGCGCACACUCGCGAAAGAAUCGAGUUAUUCGAGUUCAGCUGCGAUGUUUUCCAGCGAAGCGGGUCAUGAUUGAAAAUCGAGACGAUAUAAGAGGAGGUGACUUCUAUUAUUAAUAACGAGUAAGAAGCGCGAAAGAUGAAAAUAGAUGCUGGAAAGCAGUUUCUGAUUUCAACUGAACUAACAAUAAGCUGGAUCGAAAGAGUAUACCCCAAGAACUCAGCUACCAAACGUUGUUAGUACAGAAGUUCAUUUUUAUUUCAGGUCAUUCGCUCGAACACAUCGUGUAUUACUACAUAGUUGCCGUGUUGUUCGAUUGACGGCGAAAUACGGAGUAGAAUGGUUCGGGUGCUGUGCGAAGUGAUCGACUUGGAAUAUUUGUAAUUACGACCGUGCUGCAUAAGUGAGUUACUACUCCCUCAAAUAGGAUUUAUAUCAUCUACUGGUAAUUACAAGUAGAUGAAAUUACAAUUGAUUAUACUAUAUUGACAAUCGCUAUCACUUUUUCUGGUGAGAAAUGAAAUUAGAGCGUCCGGUGUUAGGUGAGAUGAGAUGGUAGUCAAUACGCUGGAUGAUUAUUUACAAAAUAGGUACUGGUACUGGUAUCUGGUAGGUAUAUUACUUAUACUAUACGUAGUAUUAAUAGGUUUAGGUAGUAGUAGUGAUAGAUGAAGAUGUAUUGAAGAUUGAAUUACCUCUUCG